GGCUUAGGGAAGAGGCACUGCCCGGUCCACAGAGCGCAGCACACGUGCCACACUCUGUCCCUCCACCCACGGUGUGUCCCUUUAGUCCUUCGACAUCUCGUCCGGCCACUUGUCUCCCCCUCCCGGCCUUUGCUCAGCCUGCCUCACCUCUCUGGGUCACUUUAAAGGCCUCGUAGGUCCGUCUCCCUGCGGAGCUGUCCACCCGCGCCUCUGGGCAGCCACGUACGGUCAGCCCUCAGCUUCCCCGGGACCCCCACCUGUGGCGGCCCACUGGGGCCCCCAGCGGUGACCCCUACCUUCUCAAUCCCCUUCAUCUCCUAGGAAGCGUGACCAACUGUGACCACGUCACAAGUCUCAGGUGUAAUUCUACCCCUUUCUUGUAGACUCUUUUCAGUGUAAGAGAAGAACGCAUACUGGCCCACAGGCGAAUGGGACAGACUCAGGGGUGACCUCAGCUCCAAGCCCAGCCUCACAGCCUCCUGGCUGAGCGGCCUCGGACAAAUUACGUGAAGCUCUCUACUCUCCAAUUUCCCCAUCUGUAAAAUGGGGAUAAUUAAAUACCCGUCUAAGACUUUGAAGGAUGAGAGGAACAAUAAAGGGCCUCCAAGAGACAGUGCCCUAAGCAAAGGAAGUAACAAAUGACGGUGACGUCAAUCAAUGAACAAAUCUCAUAAAGAUCUGCUCAUCAUCGUGCCACCUGGAGUAGGAACCCCGGCAGAAGUCCCAGACCUGACUUGGCUCCUGCCCUUGUGGACCUCUCUGGGAAGAGGAGACCAGCUGACCCGAAACUGCUGACAGGUGCAUGAGUCCUGCUCCCUGCCUAACAAGACGGGGAGGAGAGGCGGCAAGCAAGGGGGUCCCGCCGUUUACAGGGAGAAGGGAGGUGCACCCCACGCCACUGAACUGUGAGUUUCUUAGGGGCAGACUCUGAGUUCUCCCCAUCUCCCUAGCCCAGUUCGGGCUUGAGCCCACAGAAGGUGUUCAAUUAGUGUGUUGAACAAAACGAUCUAGAAAAGGGCCCGGGACUCCCCUGCCUUCCCUUGCCCCAAAUGCUAGAAUCCAAGACAGACUUUGAUCAAGUGCAGCAAGACCCAGGCAAAACACUUGCAAGUCAGGAAAGGAGCGAUCGCUGUCCUUCUGGGGCCUGACACACAGCAGAUGCUUCUGCCUGGACUCUCGAGGGAGCGUUCGGACAAGGGCGGGCAAGGGUCAGUUCCCGGUGUCUGUCACGCACCCCAAAAGCAUUUUAGCACAGUGCCCUGCACUGAACUAAGGUGCUUGAUAACUUAGUACAAGCUGAUUUAGGGAGCGUCAGGACAACAGUGUAGGAGAAGCCAAGAGAAGAGAGCUUCAGGGAGGCAGCUGAUGGACAGGGUCAGACGCCCCAGAAGCGCUGAGAGAAGACUUCGGGGGAAACCCACGGGAGAUCUGGAGGUCACAGGUGACCUUUGCAAGGGCACUUGGGAGGUAGACACCGAUUGUGAGAUUGAACAGAACGGGUAAGUGUGCUCUCCCCGGCAUUUGGUGGCGAAGCGAGCACCUGGGCGGGAGCGGGAUCAAGGAAGGCUUCUCGGUGUGGUCUGUGUGGUCGGUGGUUUGCUGUUGUUUUUAAACGGAAGAGACCUAAACACGAGCUGCUGCGGGAGGGGUGGGAGCUGAGUGGAAA